AGCUUUGCGCAGUGGCAGUAUCGUAGCCUAUGAGGUUUAUCCGAGGCGUGAUUAUUGCUGGUUGAAAACUUUACCCAAUACCCCGCCUAGACGACUUGAAAUAUAGUCGGCGACGGCAAUUUUUGACAGUCUCUAAGGAGA
rnacentral:snRNA from 1 species